rnacentral:pre_miRNA from 1 species
UAUCAGUUUGCUGCAACAUUAGCAACAUAUUUCAGUUUGCUGCAACGAUAGCGCGGAAAAUUAUCACAAAACUACAACUUUUAUGUGAUAUGUUGCUAUAGUUGUCACCUACAUGUCCUGUAGCAGUUUUUUUUGAUGAUUUCCUAUGCUAUCGUUGCAGCAAACUGAAAUAUGUUGCUAAUGUUGCAGCAAACUGAUA